AGGGAUGUCAGCGCUGAGAAAACUACUUCGUAGAUAGAUGCCUUGGUGAUGCUUCUAAGUAGUGGUUUACGUUUCUCUCUUCUUUUUUUUUUAUAAUCUGGAUCUUCUAGUCUUGUAAUAGAAUUUCAUAGGAAUAUAUAAAUGCAUUUGAUUUUGAUUUCAUAUAUGGAUGGAUACAAAUCAUGCUUUGAAGAAUACUGAUCGAGUGUCAAUAUAUAUUAGGUACUUGACUAUAAC
rnacentral:lncRNA from 1 species